AGGAUUGAAACGGGAGAGGUGAACACUAGUAAAAACGCCACCAAAGGAAGCAGGGUGCCCGGCUUUCCAGUGCAACUAUAGAGUAGACCACAGCACGGUGACGAAGGCCACCAAAUUUCGAUAUGGCGAAGGCGAUAUAAGUGGAUCCUUAUGGGGGCUCAAAGAAAGCUGCCGAGUUUUUCGUGUGCUUCAGGAACGCGAGCACUGGAAUGAAGAGUGGAAAAACGUCGUCUUCACCGCCGAGUCCACACUUCCCACAAGAUGGGACCAAAGGCAGCGUGUAUGAUGCCCAGACAACUGUCGAAACGAACAACUGCCAAGUCGAGGGCGGCGUAGGAAUCGUCCCGUUGCCGCCACAGGACGUGUGCGUCGUCGUGCUGCCAUGGUCACAAAUCUCACGGUUCACAGCUGCAUACACUCAAUUCACACAACCACGUUGGUCCAUCCGGUAUAGCUUUGC